rnacentral:rRNA from 1 species
AUACGGAGGAUGCGAGCGUUAUCCGGAUUUAUUGGGUUUAAAGGGAGCGUAGGUGGGAUAUUAAGUCAGCUGUGAAAGUUUGGGGCUCAACCUUAAAAUUGCAGUUGAUACUGGUUUCCUUGAGUACGGUAUAGGUGGGCGGAAUUCGUGGUGUGGCGGUGGAAUGCUUAGAUAUCACGAAGAACUCCGAUCGCGAAGGCAGCUCACCGGGCCGGAACUAACACUGAUGCUCGAAAGUGCGGGUAUCAAACAGGAUUAGAUACCCUGGUAGUCCGCACAGUAAACGAUGAAUACUCGCUGUUUGCGAUACACUGUAAGCAGCCAAGCGAAAGCGUUAAGUAUUCCACCUGGGGAGUACGCCGGCAACGGUGAAACUCAAAGGAAUUGACGGGG